ACCGCGCUUCGUUAGGUGAGGCUCCUACACGAACACAGGCCACUGAUCCGACGACGUCGAGAGACGCCCAGGGUUAGGACAGAUCUUCCCGGCCUAAGGGAUGAUCCGAAGUGGCUUCCCACCUCAAGGUGGGACACGUCGUGCAGUGCCAAAGCUCUGAUGAGGAAGUGCUCG
rnacentral:sRNA from 2 species